rnacentral:lncRNA from 1 species
GUGCAGGGGAUGAUUCAGCUGCAGAAAGUGAAUAUGUUAGUGGUUUCUGCAUAGAAAGAAAGUUUGAUUUAACAAAUCACAUAAAAUGGUGGGGAUCUAACAAGAAUCGACAACCUGAUGCUGGAACAAAACAUGGUUUUGCUGUAGAUAUUUACAGUGAACUGAAAACAUUGGAACAGAAAGUCCAACCAACAGAACCAUACAAGAUGCCAGAGUUGGGCCGGCUCCACAAUGAGAAAAAGCAUAAAAGUUCUUCGAUCUCUGCCUUAAGUAUAUUGUCGCAGUCUGCUGCUUACAAGAGCAUGCAAGAGAAAGCGGCAAAAAGACAAGAAAAUAGCAUUGAUAAUGAUGAGAAUGAAAACAAAAAUAUAGUCAAUGAGUUGGAUCGUGGGAAGGCGGUAGAGAAACCCUCUAAUCACG